rnacentral:rRNA from 1 species
GACGAACGCUGGCGGCGUGCUUAACACAUGCAAGUCGAACGGAAAGGCCUGCUUUCCCUUGUGGAUUGCGGGUACUCGAGUGGCGAACGGGUGAGUAACACGUGAGUGAUCUGCCCCCAACUUGGGUAUAAGCCUGGGAAACUGGGUCUAAUUCCCGAUAGGACUGCAGGGUGGUGCCUGUGGUGGAAAACGAUUUUCUAGUGGUUGGGGAUGAGCUCGCGGCCUAUCAGCUUGUUGGUGGGAUAAUGGCCUACCAAGGCGGCGACGGGUAGCCGGCCUGAGAGGGUGGACGGCCACAUUGGGACUGAGAUACGGCCCAGACUCCUACGGGAGGCAGCAGUGGGGAAUAUUACACAAUGGGCGGAAGCCUGAUGCAGCGACGCCGCGUGGGGGAUGACGGCCUUCGGGUUGUAAACUCCUUUCGACCGCGAGGAAGCCACCUGGUUGGAAGGGUGGUGACGGUAGUGGUAGAAGAAGCACCGGCUAACUACGUG